rnacentral:rRNA from 1 species
CAGCAGCCGCGGUAAUACGUGUGGGGCAAGCGUUGUUCGGAAUUACUGGGCUUAAAGGGUGUGUAGGCGGUUUGCUAAGUCAGUGGUGAAGGUCGGUCGCCCAACGAUCGAAUUGCCAUUGAUACUGGUAAACUUGAGUGUGCUAGGGGUAAGCGGAACGUGUGGUGUAGCGGUGAAAUGCGUAGAUAUCACACGGAAGGCCGGAGCCGAAGGGGGCUUACUGGGACACAACUGACGCUGAGACACGGAAGCGUGGGGAGCAAACAGGAUUAGAUACCCUGGUAGUCCACGCCGUAACCGAUGAGCACUAGGCCGCCGCCCGGUUAGGGGUAGCGGCUGUAGAGAAAUUGAUAAGUGCUCCGCCUGGGGAGUAUGAUCGCAAGGUUGAAACUCAAGGAAUUGACGGGGGCCCGCACAAGCGGUGGAGCAUGUGGUUUAAUUCGAUGAUACGCGAGGAACCUUACCUGGGCUUAAAUGCAGAACGACCGAUCCGGAAACGGAUCUUUCUUCGGACGGACUGCAAGGUGCUGCAUGGUUGUCGUCAGCUCGUGCCGUGAGGUGUCGGGUUAAGUCCCAUAACGAGCGCAACCCCUAUCGUUAGUUGCUAGCAGGUAAUGCUGAGGACUCUAACGAAACUGCCCGUGCAAGCGGUGAGGAAGGUGGGGAUGACGUCAAAUCAUCACGGCCCUUACGUCCAGGGCUACACACGUGCUACAAUGGCGCAUACAAAGGGCAGCUACCUGGUGACAGGAUGCUAAUCUCUAAAGUGCGUCUCAGUUCGGAUUGGAGUCUGCAACUCGACUCCAUGAAGCUGGAAUCGCUAGUAAUCGCGCAUCAGCCAUGGCGCGGUGAAUACGUUCCCGGGCCUUGUACACACCGCCCGUCAAGCCAUGGAAGCUGGGGGUGCCUGAAGUCGGUGACCGUAAGGAGCUGCCUAGGGCAAAACUAGUAACUGGGGCUAAGUCGUAACAAGGUAGCCGUA